rnacentral:rRNA from 1 species
UAUUGGACAAUGGGGGCAACCCUGAUCCAGCCAUGCCGCGUGUGUGAAGAAGGCCCUCGGGUUGUAAAGCACUUUCAGCGAGGAAGAACGCCUGGUGGUUAAUACCCAUCAGGAAAGACAUCACUCGCAGAAGAAGCACCGGCUAACUCCGUGCCAGCAGCCGCGGUAAUACGGAGGGUGCAAGCGUUAAUCGGAAUUACUGGGCGUAAAGCGCGCGUAGGUGGCUUGAUAAGCCGGUUGUGAAAGCCCCGGGCUCAACCUGGGAACGGCAUCCGGAACUGUCAAGCUAGAGUACAGGAGAGGAAGGUAGAAUUCCCGGUGUAGCGGUGAAAUGCGUAGAGAUCGGGAGGAAUACCAGUGGCGAAGGCGGCCUUCUGGACUGAUACUGACACUGAGUGCGAAG